rnacentral:tRNA from 1 species
GCGUCGGUCGGAUAGCGGCUAUUCCAGCGGACUGUAAAUCCGUGGCUUUCGAGCAUCGCAGGUUCGAGUCCUGCCCGGCGCACCA